rnacentral:rRNA from 1 species
CGGUAAGACGACGUGGAGGACCGAACCCACUUAGGUUGAAAACUGAGGGGAUGACCUGUGGAUAGGGGUGAAAGGCCAAUCAAACUUCGUGAUAGCUGGUUCUCCCCGAAAUGCAUUUAGGUGCAGCGUUGCGUGUUUCUUGCCGGAGGUAGAGCACUGGAUAGCUAAUGGGCCCUACAAGGUUACUGACGUUAGCCAAACUCCGAAUGCCGGUAAGUGAGAGCGCAGCAGUGAGACUGCGGGGGAUAAGCUCCGUAGUCGAGAGGGAAACAGCCCAGACCAUCAGCUAAGGCCCCUAAGCGGUGACUAAGUGGAAAAGGAUGUGGAGUCGCAUUGACAACCAGGAGGUUGGCUUGGAAGCAGCCACCCUUGAAAGAGUGCGUAAUAGCUCACUGGUCAAGUGAUUCCGCGCCGACAAUGUAGCGGGGCUCAAGUCAUCCGCCGAAGCUAUGGCAUUCAGCAAUUACAUCAGCAUCGACAUCGUUCGGUGUUCAGUGUGCUGGAUGGGUAGGGGAGCGUCGUGUGGGCAGUGAAGCGCCGGAGUGAUCCAGGUGUGGAGCCCACACGAGUGAGAAUGCAGGCAUGAGUAGCGAAUCACGGGCGAGAAACCCGUGCGCCGAAUGAUCAAGGGUUCCAGGGUCAAGCUAAUCUGCCCUGGGUAAGUCGGGACCUAAGGCGAGGCCGACAGGCGUAGUCGAUGGACAACGGGUUGAUAUUCCCGUACCGGCAAAGUAGCGCCCAUGACGAACCUGGUGAUGCUAACCACCCGAAACACGUGUGACCGGACCCUUCGGGGCGAGGCGUGCGUGCGGAGCGUGGGACCCGAACUGGUAGUAGUCAAGCGAUGGGGUGACGCAGGAAGGCAGCCCAACCACAGCGAUGGUUGUCUGUGGGCAAGCGUGUAGGACGUACCGUAGGCAAAUCCGCGGUAUCCACUUGAGUGUGGUGUCUGAGACGUGACGCGGAGCCAAUUUUGGUGAAGUGGGUGAUCCUAUGCUGCCGAGAAAAACCUCUAGCGAGCUACGCGCCGCCCGUACCCCAAACCGACUCAGGUGAUCAGGUAGAGAAUACUAAGGCGAUCGAGAUAACCAUGGUUAAGGAACUCGGCAAAAUGCCCCCGUAACUUCGGGAGAAGGGGGGCCCGGAGCGUGAACCCACUUGCUGGGGGAUGCGUGAAGGGCCGCAGAGACCAGGCCCAAGCGACUGUUUACUAAAAACACAGGUCCGUGCGAAGUUGUAAGACGAUGUAUACGGACUGACUCCUGCCCGGUGCUGGAAGGUUAAGAGGACCUGUUAGAUCGUAAGAUCGAUGCGGAGAAUUUAAGCCCCAGUAAACGGCGGUGGUAACUAUAACCAUCCUAAGGUAGCGAAAUUCCUUGUCGGGUAAGUUCCGACCUGCACGAAUGGAGUAACGACUUGGGCGCUGUCUCAACCAUGGACUCGGCGAAAUUGCAGUACGAGUAAAGAUGCUCGUUACGCGCGGCAGGACGGAAAGACCCCGGGACCUUUACUAUAGUUUGGUAUUGGUGUUUGGUUCGGCUUGUGUAGGAUAGGUGGGAGACGGUGAAGCCCUCACGCCAGUGGGGGUGGAGUCAACGUUGAAAUACCACUCUGGUCGUACUAGAUGUCUAACCUAGGUCCGUAAUCCGGAUCAGGGACAGUGCCUGAUGGGUAGUUUAACUGGGGCGGUUGCCUCCUAAAGUGUAACGGAGGCGCUCAAAGGUUCCCUCAGCCUGGUUGGCAAUCAGGUGGCGAGUGUAAGUGCACAAGGGAGCUUGACUGUGAGACAGACAUGUCGAGCAGGGACGAAAGUCGGAACUAGUGAUCCGGCGCCAGCAGGUGGAAGCGGCGUCGCUCAACGGAUAAAAGGUACCCCGGGGAUAACAGGCUGAUCUUCCCCAAGAGUCCAUAUCGACGGGAUGGUUUGGCACCUCGAUGUCGGCUCGUCGCAUCCUGGGGCUGGAGUAGGUCCCAAGGGUUGGGCUGUUCGCCCAUUAAAGCGGCACGCGAGCUGGGUUUAGAACGUCGUGAGACAGUUCGGUCCCUAUCCGC